rnacentral:lncRNA from 1 species
UUUCGGUUAACCUCAGCUUCCAGUAAUCCUGUCAAUUCCUCUCCUGGUUAGCCUCGUCAUUGCAUAGUAUAGAGUUAUAAAUGCAAGGAUGUGAGUUCAAACCCUGCCUUCUACCUUUCCCAAGCUAGCAUGAUCUUGACCUUCCUAAAUCAAAAGAGAUUAAAAUAUAAGCUUUAGUUGUGUGCUUGAUUUAGAAUACAUUGCCAGCAGCGACUGCUUCUUUUUCUGUUGUGGAGGAACUCUGGCUGUAUGCUCUUAGUUUACAGACAGGAAUCUCCUAGUAUUCUCGGAAGUCUACUGGGGCUUCUCGAAGUCAACGUGUGAAAAUGAAGACAUUUUCUGAAACAAAAAAUAUUUCUAAUUUAAAGCCUGAUCUCAGUGAUUUUGGGCGCUGGGAGUUUAGACAUCUGAUUAAAACCCCUUGGGUCAGAUCCCACUCCUGGAGGGAAGAAUGAAGCGCUUCAGUGUUCUGUGAGCUGACAGUUCUUAAGAAGGCAUCAGCACACGUCCAUGUGAAGCAAUCAAACUAUAAAGAGAAUGAAUCCGGACUGAUAAUGUCUUAAAAAAAAAAAAAAAAAAGGAAAGAAAGAAAGAAAAUGGAAGAAAAGUACACCCCAUCAUUUUCCAACUGAAAUGCCUGCUGUUUUCAGACUCACAGGGUUGUGGAUGCAAAGACUUCUUUGGGGCUGUGGACUGUCACCAAUGGGCCACCUAGAGGGGCUGCGAGGCUCCAACAUGGGGAAGCUGAAGUUUGGCUGCAGAGCUGAGGGAGUUUGGCUGGUCAAGAGAUGUUGGGGGCCAAGUCAUGCCGCUGGGUGACAGCAGUGUCUAUGAAGAACCAGCAAGAUGAUCCCUGCAGGCAGCACUCACUGCUUUUGGUGUGAAAUGCCUUAAAAACUCUGCCCAGUCCAGCCUGGAGCUGGCAGAGGCAGCUGGCUACCUCAAGCUCUUGUCCGUCGUACAUCCCGGCAUCCUUUGCUGUUGGUUGGAAUAGUUUCUGUCUAUAGGACAUUAAUGAUCCCAAGGCUGCUUUAAGAAGUUUCUCUAUUUUACGGGAGGUGAGGGAAUCUCUCAUGAGAACCAGCGCCCUGCAUCGCUUAAGGGUUUCUCCCACUACUGGAGACACUUGGUGAGUGUGGAGGGGACCUAUGCAGUGGGAAUUCCCUGCUAAUGGUGGGAGCAUCAUCCCCAGGGAGGAGGCCGUUCUAACAGGCUGUUCUGAGAGUCUCAAGGCUAGA